UCAUGGCUCAGAUGAACGCUGGCGGCAGGCCUAACACAUGCAAGUCGAACGGUAACAGGAAGCAGCUUGCUGCUUCGCUGACGAGUGGCGGACGGGUGAGUAAUGUCUGGGAAGCUGCCUGAUGGAGGGGGAUAACUACUGGAAACGGUAGCUAAUACCGCAUAAUGUCGCAAGACCAAAGAGGGGGACCUUCGGGCCUCUUGCCAUCGGAUGUGCCCAGAUGGGAUUAGCUUGUUGGUGGGGUAACGGCUCACCAAGGCGACGAUCCCUAGCUGGUCUGAGAGGAUGACCAGCCACACUGGAACUGAGACACGGUCCAGACUCCUACGGGAGGCAGCAGUGGGGAAUAUUGCACAAUGGGCGCAAGCCUGAUGCAGCCAUGCCGCGUGUAUGAAGAAGGCCUUCGGGUUGUAAAGUACUUUCAGCGGGGAGGAAGGGAGUAAAGUUAAUACCUUUGCUCAUUGACGUUACCCGCAGAAGAAGCACCGGCUAACUCCGUGCCAGCAGCCGCGGUAAUACGGAGGGUGCAAGCGUUAAUCGGAAUUACUGGGCGUAAAGCGCACGCAGGCGGUUUGUUAAGUCAGAUGUGAAAUCCCCGGGCUCAACCUGGGAACUGCAUCUGAUACUGGCAAGCUUGAGUCUCGUAGAGGGGGGUAGAAUUCCAGGUGUAGCGGUGAAAUGCGUAGAGAUCUGGAGGAAUACCGGUGGCGAAGGCGGCCCCCUGGACGAAGACUGACGCUCAGGUGCGAAAGCGUGGGGAGCAAACAGGAUUAGAUACCCUGGUAGUCCACGCCGUAAACGAUGUCGACUUGGAGGUUGUGCCCUUGAGGCGUGGCUUCCGGAGCUAACGCGUUAAGUCGACCGCCUGGGGAGUACGGCCGCAAGGUUAAAACUCAAAUGAAUUGACGGGGGCCCGCACAAGCGGUGGAGCAUGUGGUNUAAUUCGAUGCAACGCGAAGAACCUUACCUGGUCUUGACAUCCACGGAAGUUUUCAGAGAUGAGAAUGUGCCUUCGGGAACCGUGAGACAGGUGCUGCAUGGCUGUCGUCAGCUCGUGUUGUGAAAUGUUGGGUUAAGUCCCGCAACGAGCGCAACCCUUAUCCUUUGUUGCCAGCGGUCCGGCCGGGAACUCAAAGGAGACUGCCAGUGAUAAACUGGAGGAAGGUGGGGAUGACGUCAAGUCAUCAUGGCCCUUACGACCAGGGCUACACACGUGCUACAAUGGCGCAUACAAAGAGAAGCGACCUCGCGAGAGCAAGCGGACCUCAUAAAGUGCGUCGUAGUCCGGAUUGGAGUCUGCAACUCGACUCCAUGAAGUCGGAAUCGCUAGUAAUCGUGGAUCAGAAUGCCACGGUGAAUACGUUCCCGGGCCUUGUACACACCGCCCGUCACACCAUGGGAGUGGGUUGCAAAAGAAGUAGGUAGCUUAACCUUCGGGAGGGCGCUUACCACUUUGUGAUUCAUGACUGGGGUGAAGUCGUAACAAGGU
rnacentral:rRNA from 1 species